GACGAACGCUGGCGGCGUGCCUAACACAUGCAAGUCGAGCGGAGAAAAUUGAAAGCUUGCCUUUGGUUUUCUUAGCGGCGGACGGGUGAGUAACGCGUGGGCAACCUGCCUAUCACAGGGGGAUAACACAGGGAAACUUGUGCUAAUACCGCAUAACACAACGAGGUAGCAUUACCUUGCUGUCAAAGGAGCAAUCCGGUGAUAGAUGGGCCCGCGUCCAAUUAGCUAGUUGGUGAUGUAACGGACCACCAAGGCGACGAUUGGUAGCCGAACUGAGAGGUUGAUCGGCCACAUUGGGACUGAGACACGGCCCAGACUCCUACGGGAGGCAGCAGUGGGGAAUAUUGCACAAUGGGGGAAACCCUGAUGCAGCAACGCCGCGUGAAGGAUGAAGGUUUUCGGAUUGUAAACUUCUUUAGUCAGGGACGAAUAAAUGACGGUACCUGAAGAAUAAGCCACGGCUAACUACGUGCCAGCCGCCGCCGUAA
rnacentral:rRNA from 1 species